rnacentral:piRNA from 1 species
UGGUGACACCGAGAGCAUUGGCUG